UCAGCUAGUUGGUGAGGUAAUGGCUCACCAAGGCGACGACGGGUAGCCGGCCUGAGAGGGUGACCGGCCACACUGGGACUGAGACACGGCCCAGACUCCUACGGGAGGCAGCAGUGGGGAAUAUUGCACAAUGGGCGCAAGCCUGAUGCAGCAACGCCGCGUGAGGGACGAAGGCCUUCGGGUUGUAAACCUCUUUUAGCAGGGAAGAAGCGAGAGUGACGGUACCUGCAGAAAAAGCACCGGCUAACUACGUGCCAGCAGCCGCGGUAAUACGUAGGGUGCGAGCGUUAUCCGGAAUUAUUGGGCGUAAAGAGCUCGUAGGCGGUCUGUCGCGUCUGCUGUGAAAACCCGAGGCUCAACCUCGGGCUUGCAGUGGGUACGGGCAGACUAGAGUGCGGUAGGGGAGAUUGGAAUUCCUGGUGUAGCGGUGGAAUGCGCAGAUAUCAGGAGGAACACCGAUGGCGAAGGCAGAUCUCUGGGCCGUUACUGACGCUGAGGAGCGAAAGCGUGGGGAGCAAACAGGCUUAGAUACCCUGGUAGUCCACGCCGUAAACGUUGGGAACUAGAUGUGGGGACCAUUCCACGGUCUCCG
rnacentral:rRNA from 1 species